CGGUGGAAGCUGAAUUAAUGAGGAUGAUUCCUGCUCCUGUCAUCUCUAAGCUCCUCACACAUCUUUACCUGCACAUGAGGAAAAUCACUCCUGUAGAAUGCAGAUGUUCAGAUGGAGAUGAUGCCACAUCUGGUCCAGCUGAUGGAAGGUCUUGAAGUUCUCUGACUGGCCUCGACUGAAGAUGGUCUUCUCACUGGAUUUAAGGUUCAGAUGCUCAGUAACAAACUCCACCAAUGUGCUAACAGGGAAGCUUUAGGUUUAUUAAAUGUUGCUAUGAAGGUUUCGCUGUUUUUCUCUGUGAAUGCAAUGUGCUCCAACUGAAACUUGAAUUAGAACUUAGAAGUAAAUCCUUCCAUCUGAAAGGAUUUAGUUGCAUUAAUAACCUCAUAACAUUCUAAUGUUUAUUCCAGUCUUGGUUGAAAAUAGAAUCUCUGUAUUGAUUCAGGUAAAAACUGAACUUCACAGCAUGUUGGAGCAAAACAACCAGAUGAAAACUGUGAUGGUGUUGGAUUGUCAGACCGUAAUGUUGCAGCUCAAAGCAGCUUUUCUAUCUCAGUUCAUUCUGACAUUCAGCCAUGAAUCAACACAGCAGAUGGUGAUCCAUGCUGUGGAAGUCUCACAUCUCCUGAUUUAAUGGAGCUGCUUUGCACUUUUUACACUGUUUAUUCACCAACACUUUAUUUAAUAAAAGUCCCAUCUAGUUUUAAUGAGGAAUGUGAUGUUUUAAUUUCUCUGUGAAUAACUGCAGUCUAAUGCAACAGCUGGAGUUGUAACAUCUGUCCUGAUAUUGAUCAUGAAGUAUUGAUCAGAAUACUUAUGGUUCACUGUCAUCCCUGAAGUUUUACAUUAAAAUCUUUACUUGUGUUGUGAACUUUGGUAAGAAGCAGAAACGUUAGCGUUGCCAUGGAUACAUGAGUGUUAAAUUCUGUCCAUGUUUCCAUUUUGGGAAAUGCAGUCCAGUUCCAGAAUGUGGAGGAAUUUAGUCUCAAUCACAGACAAAAGUCGGGUUAUUGUUGUUUAUCAGCACAAUACAAAAAGAUUAAUGUUAGAAAUAUUCCAGUUAAGACUCUAGAAUAUCAUGAUUUAUGUAAAUUUCCCUCAAUAAUAUGAAUGUUCAGGUUAAGAUUGUGCAGUGAUAUUUAUUAUGUAAGUUUAGCUGGUUAAAGUUUAUGACUCUGCACUAAAAUAUUAUUUAAAUUGACAUCAUUAUUAUAAUAUUUAGGGACAGACCCUACAGUAUUGAGAUUAAGAAAUCAAAUGUUCUAUAAAAUGUAAAUACACUGAACUCAUUUGGAUAUAUUUAAGUGAGACGCUACAAUAUUAUUUGACACAAAUCUAUCUAAAUCAAAUUUUUAAUAAUUUUCAGGCCAAAGAUUUACUGGACUGAUUUAAAUAUUAAAAUCACUCCUUUCUAAUCCUCUGCUGUACGUUCAAACCUGAGGCCUUAAUUAGAAACACACAAGUAUCUGUUUGAAGGAACUUCUGCAGAGUCCUGGUUCCAGAACAUGAUGAUAGAAUUAUAGACAAACUUUAACAAAAGCUGCCUGAGAGUUUACAGGUUUUUAUGUUGGAUUUCUUCAGUAAUUUAAUGAGCGUUAUCAGCAAAAAUCAGGUGUUCAUUUGAUGAACUUCAUUUCCUAAAACAUCCAGAAUUGGAGCUCAUAUCUUUGGCUGCUGUAAAGUUUCUGCUCCUUCAAAGUUCACAACACAAUGAAUGAAUUCCUAAAACACUCUCAAUGCUGGAGAGCGUUUGUGAUGCUGAAGCAGUGAUCAGUUUUUCUGUUUCUUCUCUGGAGAUGCACAAUGAGGGACGUCUGCAGAGACUGAGAAAGAGUCUCACCACAUCCUGACAUGAGGAAAAAGACUUUAUUGAAGACUGCAAUGAGAAAAACUAUCAGACAGCAGACGGCUGCAUUCAAGGUGAGCUCUGAACAUUUGAUCUGGAACAGGAAUUCAAUAACGGCAGCAUGAGCUUCAUUUCAGUCUGUAGCUGCUGAAUUCAUGGAUGAAUCAUCUGGCACUAGAGAAGAAGACCAUCAAACAUCCACAUCAGCUGAUGGAGGUCCAAGAGUCUCACCAAACAAACAACCUACAGAGUGAAGACCUCGAAUCUGAUUGGACGGCCUCCUAUUCAGCCACGUGUGAACAAAUGCCUCUAAGUUGAUUUGUUUUCUAAAAUAAAUCUAGUUUGAGUCCUAA